rnacentral:rRNA from 1 species
GAUGAACGCUGGCGGCGUGCCUAAUACAUGCAAGUCGAGCGAAUGGAUUAAGAGCUUGCUCUUAUGAAGUUAGCGGCGGACGGGUGAGUAACACGUGGGUAACCUGCCCAUAAGACUGGGAUAACUCCGGGAAACCGGGGCUAAUACCGGAUAACAUUUUGAACCGCAUGGUUCGAAAUUGAAAGGCGGCUUCGGCUGUCACUUAUGGAUGGACCCGCGUCGCAUUAGCUAGUUGGUGAGGUAACGGCUCACCAAGGCAACGAUGCGUAGCCGACCUGAGAGGGUGAUCGGCCACACUGGGACUGAGACACGGCCCAGACUCCUACGGGAGGCAGCAGUAGGGAAUCUUCCGCAAUGGACGAAAGUCUGACGGAGCAACGCCGCGUGAGUGAUGAAGGCUUUCGGGUCGUAAAACUCUGUUGUUAGGGAAGAACAAGUGCUAGUUGAAUAAGCUGGCACCUUGACGGUACCUAACCAGAAAGCCACGGCUAACUACGUGCCAGCCGCCGCAGUAA